GGGAAACCGAGUCUUAAUUGGGCGUUAAGUUGCAGGGUAUAGACCCGAAACCCGGUGAUCUAGCCAUGGGCAGGUUGAAGGUUGGGUAACACUAACUGGAGGACCGAACCGACUAAUGUUGAAAAAUUAGCGGAUGACCUGUGGCUGGGGGUGAAAGGCCAAUCAAACCGGGAGAUAGCUGGUUCUCCCCGAAAGCUAUUUAGGUAGCGCCUCGUGAAUUCAUCUCCGGGGGUAGAGCACUGUUUCGGCUAGGGGGCCAUCCCGGCUUACCAACCCGAUGCAAACUGCGAAUACCGGAGAAUGUUAUCACGGGAGACACACGGCGGGUGCUAACGUCCGUCGUGAAGAGGGAAACAACCCAGACCGCCAGCUAAGGUCCCAAAGUCAUGGUUAAGUGGGAAACGAUGUGGGAAGGCCCAGACAGCCAGGAUGUUGGCUUAGAAGCAGCCAUCAUUUAAAGAAAGCGUAAUAGCUCACUGGUCGAGUCGGCCUGCGCGGAAGAUGUAACGGGGCUAAACCAUGCACCGAAGCUGCGGCAGCGAACGUAUCACCCAAGACAACUUUACGGAGUUGACGAUUGACGGAGCGAAGCGACGUCAAAGCGUUCAUUAAAGUCGAGUUGGCUUAGGGAUACGUUCGUUGGGUAGGGGAGCGUUCUGUAAGCCUGUGAAGGUGUGUCGUGAGGCAUGCUGGAGGUAUCAGAAGUGCGAAUGCUGACAUAAGUAACGAUAAAGCGGGUGAAAAGCCCGCUCGCCGGAAGACCAAGGGUUCCUGUCCAACGUUAAUCGGGGCAGGGUGAGUCGACCCCUAAGGCGAGGCCGAAAGGCGUAGUCGAUGGGAAACGGGUUAAUAUUCCCGUACUUGGUGUUACUGCGAAGGGGGGACGGAGAAGGCUAUGUUGGCCGGGCGACGGUUGUCCCGGUUUAAGCGUGUAGGUGUGUGUUCCAGGUAAAUCCGGUUCACUUUAACACUGAGGCGUGACGACGAGGCACUACGGUGCUGAAGCAACAAAUGCCCUGCUUCCAGGAAAA
rnacentral:rRNA from 1 species